UUUUUAUGUUAAAGGAAACUGUAAGGGAAGACAGAACCUCGGAGACAGAGACUCCGCAUAUGGAGACAGGCCUCACCACAAGCUUCAAUGACACUAGAGUCUCCAGAGGAAAUGCGGGAGAUACGGCGUCUCCAAGAUGAGAUCUACCAUCUCUCUCUGGCUGCAGACCAGGAGAAACAGAUGAAACGUCGUUGUUUUGAGGAGUGGGAGACCAGGUGGAGGAAGUCAAUAGAGGAGAGAAGACGAGGGUGGUCUCUCACCCAGAGCAGCCUGAUGGAGGGCCCUUUAAGAUCAAAUACCCAGAUGGGAGGGAGCAGAUUAAGAGAUUCCGGCUCUCUGAAUCCAUUCAGAUGGUUUGAUUUUGUGGGAGAGGAUGAUGCCUCGAGUGAGGUUUUUACCCUCCAGGCAGCAGCGAGCUUCCCAACCCUGAAGAGCAUGAUUAACGGGUCAUUGGAGGACCAUGACAUUUGGGAGUCCACACCACUGUAUGUGUUGUGGUUGUCUGUGGAGUAUGUGCAGGUGACUAGCAUGACAAUACUUAAUAAUACAUUUGAAUCAGACUACAUUUGAACUACUUGAUAGUUAUAACCUUAGUGUGUGGUUCUUUCUGUCCAUUUACAGGCAAUCCUAUCAAAUCAUCUCACCUGCCCCCUCAACACCUCUCUCCUCACCUCUCACCAGCCUCCUCUCCUCUCCACUCACCUCCUUCAUCACCAAACUKUCCUUCUUAUCACCCCUCACCCUUAACUUCCUCACUCUUUCCACCUCUCACCUCCUAACUCACUUUCUCCUCCCUCAUCUCCAUCAUUGGCUCCAGUGAGUUUUUUAAAGAGCAGUUUAUAAACAAAAUGUAGUAUUUAAAACCUUAAUGUCAAGAGUAUUUUCCCUUAGGAUCAAUCCUUAUUCGAUUUGUCAUACAUUUUGAGUGAGCUUCCCCCCUUCCCCUCUAGAACGGACAUAAGUGCCAUUUUACGUACGCUCUGGAGCCGAGUGGACCAGGACCACUGCCCCGUCGCCAACAUGAUAAAUGUCCACAGGGGCAACGUCCUAAACAGUAGCCUGUAUGUGUUUCAACGCAACAACUUAAAUGCAGUGGCUAAGAUGGACGUUGCCUUUGUGGACGUUGAGUCCAAGGCGGAGGGGACAGUUGACCAAUGGGGUCCCUCCAGGGAGUAUUACAGGCUUCUCAUGAGGGACAUCAGGGACUCGGCCAUCUUCGAGGGUCCGGAAGGAGGGAAACGGCUGUCCAUUGAUGUUCAUGGUAAACCUUCUUUUUACCCGUAUUAACAUGUGAUUUUCAUGUAAAAUACAGAAUUUAAGCCAAAACAAUUAGUGAAGAGGCUUUGUCCAGGGCGAUAUAUCAUAGGGAUAAUAAAGUUGGCACACUUUUGAAAUGGUCUUUUUAGCAUCACACGAGGGCCUGUAUGGAACCAUUGGUCAAAUUAAAAGUGUGUGUGUGGUCCAUGGAGAUGUUGGGCCACACUUGUUCUCUGAGCGACUCUUCGCAGCAGUGUGGGAAGCCUUCUCCUCCACUCAGUCUGGAGGAGGUAAGCCACACUACUCUGAGAGCACAUUUGGAAAAUAUCAAAAAAGCAAAGGACCUAUCAGAAGUGAAGAACAAAUUGGAGGAUUCGGUAGACUGGCUGAACCUACUGGGGAAGAAAAGGAUUGUUGUCAAGACAAUGGAGGACAGAGAUGGUGUGGUUGAAUUGGUGGCUCAACAAUUUGUCCAAGGGAGCAUGCAGGUGGCCUUAGAGCAGUAAGUCAACUCUGUAAUAAAUCUGUGAAGUACUUGUCAUUACCUCUAACAUAAGUAUUUUUAAUCAGUCCACCCCCCUAAAUCAAUACACAUCACUAUAUUGUCCUUAACACUUAUUUUAAAUAUACAUACUGUCUCUAAACCAUAACAGGUUCAAAUAUUGUCUCAACUCUCUUGGGCUGCUCUCUCGGGCGGCUCAUACAAUGUGGUUUAUUUUUUAUUUAUCUAGGUGAGUCAGAACAAAUUCUUAUUUACAAUG